rnacentral:rRNA from 1 species
AUUUGACCUCAAUGCAGGUAGGAACUA